rnacentral:rRNA from 1 species
UACGUAGGGAGCAAGCGUUGUUCGGAUUUACUGGGCGUAGAGGGCGCGUAGGCGGCAAAUUAAGUCAGCUGUGAAAUCUCCGAGCUUAACUCGGAACGGUCAGCUGAUACUGAUCUGCUAGAGUGCGGAAGGGGCAAUCGGAAUUCUUGGUGUAGCGGUGAAAUGCGUAGAUAUCAAGAGGAACACCUGAGGUGAAGACGGGUUGCUGGGCCGACACUGACGCUGAGUGCGCGAAAGCCAGGGGAGCAAACGGG